GUGGGCUGUGAGCUCUGCUGGUUCUCCAGGACUUUGGAUCUGCUCUGUGGCAAUUUUGGCAGUGUGCUGCAUGUGUGAGGAAUGCUUUUUUUUGAGCAGCAUUGAUGAUUGGACUGAAACCCAGUGGAGAGAGAUUAAUGUGGAACAGAUGGAUGUGCAGCUCAGAAGGUUUGCCAAGCCCUGCAGAAGAAAAUUCCAAAGGGACAAGAGAAGUGCAAAGUGAAGAUAGCAACAAAGACUCCCCAGACUAUUUGCAGGACACUACAGCUAUGCCUCACAGACAGCACAGAGGUUGAAUACAAAGUCUUGAACAUAACAGGUUGGGCUUUCAGUAGCAGAAGACCUUCUCAGACCUCCUGGGACUCCAGGUUCAUAAAGGUAGAAGAUGAAGUCCAAAGUGUAGUUGUCAAUGCUGUGCAAGAGUUGAGUACUGAAAAGGUGAGAGAUGUAAUUUUUUUCCCUUCUGUUUUUGCAGAAUAGUAUGUAACAAAUUAUUUGUUUGUUUA
rnacentral:lncRNA from 1 species